UAAACGACUCUCGGCGACGGACAUCUCGGCUCACGCAUCGAUGAAGAACGUAGCAAAAUGCGAUACUUGGUGUGAAUUGCAGAAUCCCGUGAACCAUCGAGUUUUUGAACGCAAGUUGCGCCCGAAGCCAUUCGGCCGAGGGCACGUCUGCCUGGGCGUCACGC
rnacentral:rRNA from 1 species